UUUCAACCUACAUCAAAUCCUGCCCACAGUGUGAAGCAUUUUACCGGUACCAAGAGUGGAAAGAUGGUCUACACAACUUUAAUGACAACAUAGUGCUGGAUCUCAGUUUAUGCAUCAGCAUACGGAGCCUGCUCCAGGUUCAUACUGCAGUCAGUAGAGUGGUUGAAUAUUUGGAGUUAAACACUGGUAUGAAGUUCCCCUCUGCAGAUACAGUUCUCCAUGGCUAUCUGCAUUUCGAAGCACUGACAGCACAUGAUUACAGCUACUCCUGUAUCACUUGUGGUGAUCAUCCACCUGUAGUCGUCAUGGAUCUUCACAGGAAGGCAGCCUUCCAUUUGUCAGUAAGUGACCUGCCUGAACCUCCGGAGGACUUCAAAGGGGAGGUUGACGUUGACAAGUUUUGGGAAGCACUUUCAAUGGAAAGGAUCGGCAGAGGAUUUGUUACAAGUGGACAAAGAAAUCCAUUUGCUGUUCCACCCUCAUACCACUUUUGGGCACCAUGGAUUGGCAGAACCACUCGCUGCUCAAACAAAAUUUUGAACACUGAAUAUCUAAAAAUCAGGCCAUCCAAGCAUGCAGAGAUGCGGGACGUAACCAUCUCUGAGGACCGUUUGACAGAUGAAUUGUUCAAACAGAAGGUAAAAAUGCCCUAACCUGACCUGAAAACUUGUUGCUUUACAUAUAUUUUAACAUGUUUUGUUUUGUAGGUUGAAGUGAUUCGUAAGUUGUGCAGAGAAUGUGGACUGAAUUCAUCUGGGUCACGCACAGAUCUCCUCCAGAGAUUGUCAAACGAAAUGCAGUCAAGGGAGGCAUAUGACAAGGUCUUCCAAAAGAUUUGGGCAGCAUCGGGUAAACUUAAUUAAACACAGCACGUCAGAUACUACAGAUAAGCGCAGGACACCAUACUUUUAUGGAAUCACAUUACAGAUAAAUGCCCCUUUUUUGUGCCACUGCUGUGGUUGAUCAUGCAAGAAUUCUUAACACAUGCGCCAAAAUAUCUGAAGUCAAAAUUUAUAUUUAUAAAAAGAUUUGGAUGUUACUAUUAUUUUUCAUAUACCACGUCAAUAACUCAUAAUAGUGUACUUUGUCCUUUGAAUUCACAAAAUGACCACACAGGCCACUUAUGCAAUUUCCACGAAAUUGUCAAUAGGAUGUACUCAAAGGCAAACCAAGGUAUUUUAAACAUGAGUGCCAGAGGGUGCCUGUCUACUUGGACACAGAGGAACACCGGGAUGUCCUUUAUAGACAUCUGAGGGGCAUCGCAGAUCGAGAAGGAACUCCCAACAACAUUGUGGAUGAGGUGGACUUUUUGAUGGAUGUUCUAUUCCCAGAGGUAAUGUUAUCCCCAGCUGCUCCACACUUUCAAAAUAGAUACAAAAAUAUAGAUUUAUUUGUAUUUGUAGAUUGAAAUAUUUUAGAAAAUAUUCACACAAUGUACAAAUCCUUUUCUCUUAAUAGGCUAUUAUUUAUGGUCUCGCCGUGACCCACAAGGUCUCAGUGGCACAUGCCGAAAACUUAUUUAUUGUUGGACAAACGUUACACACAAGUGAAAGAGACCAAUUUGAGCAGAGGAUCGAAAAGGAGUUGCGACAAACAAGG